CCUACGGGGUGCAGCAGUGAGGAAUAUUGGGCAAUGGAGGAAACUCUGACCCAGCAACGCCGCGUGAAUGAUGAAGGUCCUCGGAUCGUAAAGCUCUAUUCGAAGGGAAGAAGAUAGUGAUGGUACCUUAGGAAUAAGCCUCGGCUAACUACGUGCCAGCAGCCGUGGUAAUACGUAGGAGGCAAGCGUUAUCCGGAAGGACUGGGCGUAAAGGGGGCGUAGGUGGUUUGAUAAGUUGGUAGCGUAACUCCGGGGCUCAACCUCGGCACUACUACCAAAACUGUCGGGCUUGAGUGCAGGAGGGGCAACUGGAAUUCCUAGUGUAGCGGUGGAAUGCGUAGAUAUUAGGAGGAACACCGGUGGCGAAGGCGAGUUGCUGGACUGUAACUGACACUGAGGCACGAAAGCGUGGGGAGCAAACAGGAUUAGAUACCCCUGUAGUC
rnacentral:rRNA from 1 species